CGUACACUCCUACGGGAGGCAGCAGUGGGGAAUAUUGCACGAUGGGCGUAAGCCUGAUGCAGCCAUGCCGCGUGUAUGAAGAAGGCCUUCGGGUUGUAAAGUACUUUCAGCGGGGAGGAAGGCAAUACGGUUAAUAACCGUGUUGAUUGACGUUACCCGCAGAAGAAGCACCGGCUAACUCCGUGCCAGCAGCCGCGGUAAUACGGAGGGUGCAAGCGUUAAUCGGAAUUACUGGGCGUAAAGCGCACGCAGGCGGUCUGUCAAGUCGGAUGUGAAAUCCCCGGGCUCAACCUGGGAACUGCAUUCGAAACUGGCAGGCUUGAGUCUUGUAGAGGGGGGUAGAAUUCCAGGUGUAGCGGUGAAAUGCGUAGAGAUCUGGAGGAAUACCGGUGGCGAAGGCGGCCCCCUGGACAAAGACUGACGCUCAGGUGCGAAAGCGUGGGGAGCAAACAGGAUUAGAAACCCCGGUAGUCCCA
rnacentral:rRNA from 1 species